AGAAGUCAAAGGAGGCUUCAGCGGCAUUGUUAAAAUCAGUCGUCCACACUUCUUCAAGUCUAUCAUACCACACAAACAAGUGAUCUGAUUCCUGAUCACCCCAACCUGUCCGAACCCUCUCAUAACACACAGAGCUAUACCCAAAAAAUUUGCAUCAUGACACCAAUUUAGAGGAAGCUUGAUUUUUAUUGAGGAUCCUUCCAUUUGAUAGCUCAACCAUUUUGGAAGUUCAUUCCCUGGACAUACAACAGCAACUGAAGGAGAGUUUUGCUCCUGAAAUUCUGAUUGAAAUUUCUGUACAUAGAUAGACAUCAUUAAUUCAUGAUCAUUUAACUGGUCAAAUAUUAGAAGCAGAGGAACUAAGCAGUGGAGUUAUAAAUCCAAAUCCAAAAACAUAUGCUGCUAUUAGGUGCAAACCUUGAGGAGACUUAGACGAUGAUUGGCAGUUGCCGUUCGCAUAAUUCUAAGUCAUCGAGCGUGACACUGUCUCCAGCUUCAUGCAGCCACUUGCAUCAAACACUUUUAGAAGAUAUGGGAGCUCUGGUAAAUAUUGCAGACACUUGCAGUUGCUUACAUAUAGGAACCUCAGGCCAGA